AGCUUGAUGCAGGAAGAACUUUGAAAUAUUUGGUAGAGCCACAUGAGACUGAUCAAAAUAUUCACCCUAAGCACACAAAAGAGAAGUGUUAAGAUUUGCCAGAGAUGGGACUCACCUGCAGCAGAACAUGGCUUUGACAGAACUUGGGAGACCCUUCCAAUGGAAGGUGUUUUGUUCACAAAGCACAGCCACUUUGGAGACCUUGAUCCAAUUUCUACAACAUAUGAAAAUCCUUUUCCUCAAGUCACCCAUUCCUGUCUGUUGACAGCACAGUCAAGACUGAGUGUUUUAUAGCAGUUCCUCAGUGCAAGUGUGCGGCACGACUUGAAGUGGAGCUCAAGUUAACUCAUCUGCUUAACUGUUAAGGUUUUACAGCAUACUUAAAUUUUCAUUGAACUCCUACUUCACACCAAACUCAAUCAAAGGAUCUUCGGGAUAUACUAAAUACACUUUGUGUUGCUUCCCAGUGGAUGCUUGGCAUCAGAAGAAUGGGAUUGCCCUUGUUCCUGUUGCUGCAGACUCAUGAUCUGGACCCCAGGACUCGAGCAGGACCAAGGGACCAUGCAAGUGGUAAGAAGCUGGAUCGGCUUUCUUCAUCUGCUCACUGCCUUCACAGAAUUUGCAAGUGUGAAAAAGUGUUUCAUCCCUUUACAGGAUUAGGGAUGUGGAUUUGCCUCUCACCAAGGUGCUGCUGGAGAGUGUCUCCAAGACCUGAUUUAACCUGAAUCAUGUACUUCCUCAGGAGGUCUGCAGCAGGGCUGGAGGACUGCAAACACUGUAUCCCUUCCCUCCUGUCACCUGCUCCCACAUGACUGCAGUGCCUGUGCUGUGCUCUCAGCUCCCUCAACCUGAAAUGUUCCUCGUGAUGGUUUGUACAGAGCUGCCUUGGAGCAGGCUUUGCUUUUGGUGGCAGUAUCCCUUGUUGCCAUGUCAUUCAUGAAGAAGAUGGCUUUAUCCUUGCCUUUAUUCCACUGGGACCAGCUGCUCUACCCACAGGCACCAAAAGUGGCAAAUCUUCCAUAACCUUUUUUAAAGCUCUAUAUCACAUGAACUUCUUGGGGGUUUUUGAGAGGUAAAGAUUUUUUUCUUUUUUUUCCCUAGAAACAACACCAAAUAAAAACCCAAACACCAAAACCCAACAAACCCAAAACUGACAGGAAAAAAAAAAAAAAUUAAACCCCCACAUUGAACCUAAGUUGGAGAAAUAACUGCAUUGUGUGACUGAUACAGUCCAUGGGAGUACAAAGCAUUCCCAGUCUGGUCUUGCACAUCCACUCCCUAUACCUAUUAAUAGCUUUUAGGCAUGAGCAUAGACAUGGAGAUGGGCAGGAGUAGUUUGCCAUGCAAACAUUUAUCUGGAAGCUCCAUAUUUUCUGAACUAAAUUAAAGAUUUCAGUGUGAUAAAGUGGACAUUUUAAUGCAUUGGAGAUGGGGGGAUAACUGCACUUAAACUGAGGUUGGAUUAGGCAUUCUCAUAUCUUGGAGUCUUCCAGUAAAUAGCAAAAUAUAUGAGCAAGGGAAAUAUGUCUUUCUUAAUCUAUAAAAAGAAAAGGACAGUUUUGAAAAUCCAUCAAUCUUUGAAAUCUUAAGGCAUAUUGAUCCUGAAUCAUGGGAAUUCAACAGGGGUGUUCUUGUUAGUGAUCUAAAAAUAUAAAUGUGGUUGAAUACAUGGAAAAAUGUAUCUUAUUCCAGUUGUCUUUAUUACAACAAUAAAUGAUACCAACUCUCUCUUCUACAGACUUUAUCUCAUCUGUUUAUAUUUAUUUUGUUUUGAGCUGAGAAACAAAAUACCUAGAUACUGUAAGGUUGUAGAGGCUUUA